AAUCAACGCUGGCGGCGUGCCUAACACAUGCAAGUCGAACGGGAAAACGGGGGCAACUCCGUGAGUAUAGUGGCGUACGGGUGAGUAACACGUGACUACCUACCUUUGAGUGGGGGAUAACCCCGGGAAACCGGGGCUAAUACCGCAUAACAUCGCAAGAUCAAAGAAGCAAUUCGCUUAAAGAGGGGGUCGCGGCUGAUUAGCUAGUUGGUAGGGUAAUGGCCUACCAAGGCGAUGAUCGGUAGCCGGCCUGAGAGGGCGCACGGCCACACUGGAACUGAAACACGGUCCAGACUCCUACGGGAGGCAGCAGUGGGGAAUUUUGCGCAAUGGGGGAAACCCUGACGCAGCAACGCCGCGUGGAGGAUGAAGUCCCUUGGGACGUAAACUCCUUUCGACCGGGACGAUUAUGACGGUACCGGUGGAAGAAGCCCCGGCUAACUUCGUGCCAGCAGCCGCUGUAAC
rnacentral:rRNA from 1 species